rnacentral:tRNA from 1 species
GCUUCUGUAGCUCAGUUGGUUAGAGCGCUGCACCGGAAUCGCAGGGCCGUAGGUUCAAUUCCUACCAGAGGAC